CGGAGGAAAGCGGGAGCGCGUCCUGAGGAGAGACUGGAGCCCUGUCCUCAACCCCGUGCGGCCCCUGAAGAGCGGGAAGCCGAGGCUCCUCCACCCCGUUGUGGCUUCGGGCGUCGCUUUCCCCCAGUUGGUGCUGUUCCCCGAAAUAAUGAGGAACCGCCAGGCCCAGGCGCGUGAAGCUGAGUGAGGAAGAAGAAGAUGAGUCGGUCUCGAGGUAAGCCCUGGACUACCAAUAAGUAGCGCAGUACUCCAGAAUGUCUCCUUCCUGCUUCUCUCCCUUCCGCAGAGACCACUGAAAGACCCUACAGACGCCCCCUCAGGACCCGCAGCUAGCAUGCUCCCGCGAGAACGUCCUGUUUGUUUGAAAGAUUUUCAGGACCAGCAGCUAGCCGGCUCUCAUGAGAACGUCCUGUUUGCUUAGGAAAACAGGAUACCUGUAGUCGGCACAUGAGCCAAACUUAGAAUAUUAGCAGUUCACAAAAGGAACAGUCGGGGCUGGAGAGAUGGCUCAGUGGUUAAGAGCAUCGCCUGCUCUUCCAAAGGUCCUGAGUUCAAUUCCCAGCAACCACAUGGUGGCUCACAACCAUCUGUAAUUAGGUCUGGUGCCCUCUUCUGGUUUGCAGACACACACACAGACAGAAUAUUGUAUACAUAAUAAAUAAAUUAAAAAAAAAAGGAACAGUCGCCCCUAUGAAAGACCCCAGCUUAGCUACUGUAAGCUACUGCAAGGCUUUGACAAAAAACAAAUGUAAGUGCAGGGUGAGGUCAGGGCCCCUAUCUACAAAACAGGAUAUCUGUGAAAUAGGAUGUCUGCAAAACAGGAUAUCUGUAAAAUAAGAACAGGAUAUCUGUUGCCAUACAUCUGUGCUGGGAGAGGAAAAACCAUUUAUGCCCCUCGCCUCAUUCCAACUGACCAAUAACCACGCUUCUGCUUCUGUAAACCUGCUUUUGCCGCCCUCUUUCCUAUAAAAAGACCUUCUCCCAGUCUGCGGGUGCACAAGUCCUCCGAAAGACUUUGCCGCCCGCAGGUACCUGUGUUUGCCUAAUAAACCUCUUGCUGAUUGCAUCCAGUGGUCUUGGAGUGUCUGCCUGGGUCCCGGGGUCUUCACCGGAGUAAAGGUCCUCUCCGAGGGUCUUUCACCACCACCUCCUAGAAGCUUCCAGGACUGUUAGACGCAUACUCCAUUUAUUUCCUCUUUACGAGUAGAUACAAUUUACAUUUUCUUUUUAAAUUAGGAGUAGUUGCCGAGUGUACCUAUUGUGCUGCCUUAUAACAACGAUGUUGUUCUCAGUAUUGGAAGCUCUGAGUGGUACCAUUAGUUUUUAUUUUGUUUUGUUUGAUUGUUUGUUUGUUUGUUUGUUUUGAGACAGGGUUCUGAAUAUCCUAGAACUCUUCUCUGUAGACCAGACUGGCCUCGAACUCAGAGAUCCUCCUGCUUCAGCCUCCCCAGUGCUGAAGUUAAAGGCGUACGCCAACACGCUCCAUUUAUUUUAUUUUACUUUUGGUCAAGAGCUUGCUAUUUAUUUAGCUCAGGUUGUCCUGAAACUUGACUCAAUCCUCCUCCCCUGCGUCCCAGAGGCUGGGAUUACAUGGGUGAGUGAGCCCCCCCCCCCCCGCCCCGCCCCCCACCAGCACAGCUCCAUAGUUUGUUUAGGAGCUAUGGGCUAACUGUUGAGGAUAGUGUGUGAAAUUUUUAGAGAGCUGAAGAAAUAAAGUAGAAUGUUGUCCGUCGCCUUUUGUUUCCAAAAGCGGCCCUUCUCUGAAGGAAUAACGCCCUCCUGCUGGUGUCCAAUAAGGAUCUUGACUUAAGUCAACCCCUACUAAACAUUUUGGAAAAAGUCAUUGGCUUCUCCUCGUCUGUUUUAGAAUCUAUUAUAAGAUGAACUUUUAGCAUAUUGCAGUGAAUUGUUACAUUGGGCUUGAGAUAUCCAGGCUUCUUUACAUACCAACACACUCCAAAGAGCAUCCAUUGUUUGAGAACUAGACUUUUUUUAAAAAAGAUUUAUUUUUAUUUUAUGUGUACGGGUGUUUUGCUUGCGUGUAUGUCUGUGCACCACAUGUGUGCAGUGCUGGUGGAGGCCAGAAAAGGGUGUUGAAUCCUUCUAGAACUGGAAUUACAGUUGGCUGUAAACCACCAUGUCAGUGCUGGGAAACAAACGCAGAACGCAGGUCUGGAAGAGCAGCCAAUGCUCUUAGCUGCUGAGCCAUCUCUCCAGCCCCAAGCACCAGACUUUUGGGCUAAGAAAAUGGCAUGAAUUCAGAUGAUAGAUCCUGGAGGUGUUUGGAAACAGCAAGUGACUAAAGCCAGAGAACUGCAAAAUGGAGGGCUGGGAUACAGGCUUUAAAAACUGACAAAGUAGCUAGUUGUUAACCUGUGGUCACACUUGAGAGAAAUCAUAAGAAUACUAAUGCUAAUAAUGUGCUAGGCCCAGAACCUCUCUCCUGCUGCCUGCAGAUUUGGAUGUAGACUUCUCAGCUACUUCUCCAGCACCAUGUCUGCCUGCAUGCCGCCAUGCUCCCGCUAUGCUGACCGUGGACUAACCCUCUGAACUAUAGUUUCAUACUUUUCAGUUUGAUACAAGCUGGAAUCAUUUGGGAAGAAGAAACCUGAAUUGAGAAAAUACCUCCAAUCAAAUCAGCCUGUAGGAAAGGCAUUUUCUUGAUUAAUGAUGUAGGUAGACUUAACCCACUAUGGGCUGUACCACCCUUGGGCUGAUGGUUCUAGGUUGUAUAAGAAGGCAAGAGGAACAAGCCAAUAAGCAGUGUUUCUCCAUGGUUUCUGCUCCAGUUCUUGCCCUGAUUUACCUCAGUGAUGGAGAGGUAAAUUAAACCUGAGAGGUGUAAUAUGAAAUUAACUCUGCCCCAAUUAUUUUUGGUCAGUGUUUUAUCAUAGCAAUAGAAAAUAAAGGCAGAUAUCUUCCUCAGUUGCUUCUCUACCUUAUUUUUGAGACAAUCUAACUAACCCGGAGUUUGCUGGCCCUGGGGAUCUACCUUCUCAGUUCCUCAGCUCUAGAGUUACAGACAAGCACUGCCAUACCUGGCUUCUUUACAUGGGUACUAAGAUCCAAACACAAAUAAAGCAAACAUUGUAACCACUGAGUCAUGUUGGUAGCAUUUAUUGAAGUAGAUUUUCUUUUUGGGGGCGUGGAGAUAUUCUUUUUUAUUAUUAUUAUGUAUACAUUGUUCUGCCUGUAUUUCUGCCUGCAACCAGAAGAGGGCACAAGACCUCAUUACAGAUGGUUGUAAAUCCCCAUGUGUUGCUGGGAAUUGAACUCAGGACCUCUGGAAGAACAGUCAAUGUUCUUAACCUCUGAGCCAUCUCUCCAGUCCGACAGUCUCUUUUAUAAUAGCCUUGGCUGCCCUGGAACACACUCUGUAGACCAAGCUGGAUUCACAGAGAUCAUCUUGCCUCUUCCUCCUGGGUGCUGAGUGCAUUCACCACCAUGCUCAGAGCAAGCGUUUUUUUAAGGUGGUGACCUCAUCUUUAAAUCAAUAGGACUGAAUUGCACCUCCCCUUGGUAAUUUACAACUUGGGACAAAGUAAGGUGAACAAAGUGUUUGGUCAAGGUCACUAUUGCCUUGAUGAAACACCAUGACCAAAGCAACUUGGGGAGAAAAGGGUUUAUUUGACCUAUACUUCCAUGUCACUGUCAGGACAGGAACUCAAACAGGACAGAAACCUGGAGACAGGCAUUGGUGCAGAGGCCAUGGAGGAGUAAGAACCUUAGUAAAAUGUCUGGAUUCUCUGUUCUAGUCCCUGCAGAGGAGGAAGAUGGCUCCUCACCUUACACUCCACACAUCCAGAUAGUCCAGGGCCUGACUGUCUGAAGGGUACUCUAUGCCUGCAGUCCCAAGAGUUUAUCCUGAUUUUCCCUCACCUCCAUCUAACUGAUUCUCAACCUCUGCACACUCAAAAUGGGUGGGAUUGCGCUCCACCUCAGUCGAGCCAGACCCUAGCUGUACUCUGUUUCAGAGAGGCACCCCCUAAAGGGCCCCAACCCCUGUCAGAGGAAGGGACAGGAAAUGGGCAGAGGCCUAGGCAUUUUGUAUAGUCUUUGUUCCUUUCAGCCAGUGAUCUGUAUAACUGAAAGACCCAAAAUUCUCUCUUUUCUGAGAACCUUAGCCCCUUAUCAACCUGUUGGAAACUUUACCAGUCGGCCUGCCUGGGUUGGUUAUAAGCAGGUUUAGGUAUCCUGUUUUAUUACUGAGGCCAGGAAGGCUGCAGUGGGUUUAUUGGAAAAAAGAGCAGAGUGAAUAUUGCCCUCAACCUUAACAAACUGGAAUCCCAGCACUGAUCAAGGUAGCAGGGCUCUCCACCUAUCGCCAGGCCCUGCUGACCAGAAUAAGAGUAGUGGAUAGAAAGCCAUUUAAUAUCUCAGAGGUAUCUGAAAUAAUUUGAGGAAUCCUGCUGGGCUGCUGGGGCAUCUCCAAGAGGCCUACCAGGAUCUGGACAGCCCAGAAAACCAGGGAUUACUAACAUUUCUUUACUUACCCAGUCAGCCCCAAACAUUUGAAGAAGUUAGAAAGGCUGAAGGAAUGAAUAGGUCACAGCUGUUAUAAAUAACUCAGAAGACUUAACAGCAGAGAUCCAGAUGAGAUGGACAUAAGACUGGCCAGGAUAAUGAUAACCAACUUCAGAGAAGGGCCUGACGGUUGCCCUCAGGCAACCAAAUCAGACCUGAGCCAUGAUGAAGAAGAACCAGUGUGCAUAUUGUAGAGAAAAAGGACACUGGAAAAACAAGUGCCCCAAAGUUCAUAGACAUGAAAAAGAGGGCUGAUCUUCAGUCUAAUUGGAUCAAAUUGAUAGGGCUAAGGCACCAUACCAGUGAGCCCCCAAGAACCCAUGGUUAUAGGAAAAUAGAGGGCAAAAUUCUUGUUUCUGGUAAGCAUGAAUACAGCCCAUUCAGUGCUGACCCGGCCCCUAAACCCCAUCACUGAGCAGAGAAUCACCAUCCACAGGAACCAGUGUCUACUUCUGGACCACCAGCCAAGAAGUGAACCUUGGACAAGGUACUGUGAUUCAUUCUUUUCUUGUUAUACCAGAUUUCCAUAUCCCCUGAUUCGUAGAGGUUUGUUGAGAAAACUUAAUGCCACCAUUAUCUUGUUCAAUGAGAAUAAAGCCAUUCUGGACCUGGCAAGUCCAUACUCAGCAAUUCUGGUAAACUGCCCUUUUUCAGAAGACUAUAAAAUGACAAACAAAAAUGAGUAUUGAAAAACUAAGAGCUGGGCCAGGCGGUGGUGGCGCACGCCUUUAAUCCCAGAACUCGGGGAGGCAGAGGCAGGCGGAUCUCUGUGAGUUUGAAACCAGCCUGGUCUACAAGAGCUAGUUCCAGGACAGGCUCCAAAACCACAGAGAAACCCUGUCUCGAAAAACCAAAAAGAAAAAAAGAAAAACUAAGAGCUGAUGAAUCGUGCCUAACAAAAUUAUGUUAAGUUUUCUGUAUGGGUAGAGACCAAUUUCCCUGCACUGGUCUCACAAUAGUUGUUCAACUCCUGAACUCAGCUUUGCCUGUACAGGUUAGAUACCCAGUCGCGAAGGAAGCCAAAAAAGAGUAGAAACUGUUUACCCUCAAGUGCCCAAUCCUUAUACUUUACUCAGCCUAUUAGCUGCAGGAAAAACUGUAUACACUGUCUUAGACCUAAAGGAUGCCUUUUUCUCUCUGAGUCUGGAUCCAUGUUUGCUUUUGAAUGGGCACAUCCCAAGUCAGGGUUCAGUGACCUAUUGAACUGGUCUCAACUUCUGCAGGGGUUUCAGAACUACCCCAUUCUAAAGUUGUGGUGGAGCACACCUUUAAUCCCAGCACUAUGGAGGCAGAGGCAGGUAGAGUUCUGUGAGGCUAGCCUGGUCUACAGAGAUAGUUCCAGGAUAGCUAGGGCUCUUAUAAAAAGAAACCCUGUCUCAAAACAAAACAAAAAAAAAAAAAACAGCAAAAAACUCUUCCCCACUCUGAUGAGGCUCUUAGUGCAGACCUCCUUGAGUAUCACCAAGAGCACCUGGAAAUCACCGUCUUGCAAUGUAUGAAGGAUCUCGUUGUUGCACACACCCUGAAAGAGUGCUGGCAAACUACUGUGGAGAAACACUCCAGCAGCCGGGCUACUAGGUAUCUGACAAAAAAGGCCCAAUUAUGCUUCAAUAAGGUAACUUAAUCUGGGACAUAGCAUGGAAGGAGGCAGCAGGAUCCUGUCCUCAGGCAGGAUGCAAGCUAUCGUGAAUAUUCAUGAACAACAGGAUAAAAAUUCCUGCUUACAGACUAUGGGUACCUAACUUUGCAGAAAUAGCAAAACCAUAAUACUUGAGCCUAGGAGGAAAUGGCCCUAUGAGCUGGGAGGGCAAGGAAAAGGAGACUCCAGUGCUCAGGUUACCUGACAUUGUUAAACCUUUCCACUUGUUUGUGGAUGAAUAAAAUUGGUUGGUGAAAGGCAUACUGACUCAAACUUGGGGACUGUGGCACCUGGCGGUGGUGGUGCACACCUUUAAUCCCAGCACUCGGGAGGCAGAGGCAGGCGGAUCUCUGUGAGUUCGAGACCAGCCUGGUCUACAAGAGCUAGUUCCAGGACAGGCUCCAAAGCUACAGAGAAACCCUGUCUUGAAAAAACAAAACAAACAAAAAACCAAAAAGGCCUGUGGCUUUUUUGUCUAAACACCUAGCCCCAGUUGCAGCAGGAUGACCAGUUUGCAUCCAGGCUAUUGCUGCCACUGCAUUACUGAUGAAAGAAGCUGAUAAAUGGACCACGAGGAAGGAGUUGGUUGUCACUGCGCCACUGAAAUGCUCCUUUGGGGAGCCUCUGAGUGCUAGAUGUCAAACAUGCUUACCCAUUAUUGGGCUCUCGUUUUUGAUGCAUCCAGGAUCAGAUUCUCAACUUCUGCAGUGUUGAGCCCAGCAUCUCUUCUGCCUAACCCCAAAGAAUAGCUAGUCCACGACCAUGUCUAAGUUAUUGACCAUCUGCAGUGUGGACGACUGGACCUGUGAGACCAGCCUCUCAGAAAGGCAGACGCAACCCUGUUCACCAAUGAAAGCAGCUGUGUGAGGAUGGGCCGAGGUGUGCAGGUACAGCUCUAGCGACACUCAUUGAGGUAACCUGGGCUCAAUCUCUUCCUCAAGAAGUAUCAGCCCAAAAGGCAGAACUAAUAGCCUUGAUUCAGGCACUAAGGUGGGGAAAUAGUCAGCCAUCAACAUCUAUACUGGUAGCUGUAUGCCUUUGCCAUUCCACAUAUCCACGAUGCCUUGUACCAGGAACGAGGCGUGCUAACCCUGAGGGAAGGGAGAUCAAAACCAAAGAGGAGGAGGUUGUAGCUCUCCUAGCAGCUGUUUGGCUGCCAGAAAAGCUUGCUGUUGUCCAUUGUCCAGGACACCAGAGAGGGGACUCAGUGGAAGGAUGAGUCAACAGAUUUGCUGAUGCCGCAAAAGGAGUUAUCACAGAGCCAAUGGGCCACUGCAAAUAUUAGGCCCUCUCUCAAUAUUCACCCUCCUGCCUGAGCCACACCUGCUAGAAUGUCCUAUGUAUACUAGCAAGGAAGAAAACUGGACCAGACAACAAGAGUCCUCUGAGAGAGUGGGUUCUUCCUGCCAGAAGCCCUGUGGCCACCCUUUCUCACAAAUUCAUCAAAACACACCUGGGAUCGACCAGAUUAAAAAUUAAUCAGGGAUAGGUACUUUCUAUACCACGUGGAUGAAAGGGUUGAACAAAUCGCCUGCCACUGCUGUCUGCGCCCAGGUGAUUGUGACAAAAGGAAAACCAGCACCUGUACCUAUGGUGGGUGCUUGCAAAAGGAGACUUAACCUAGUAAACAUUGGGACUUAGACUUUACUGAAUUUGCUCUGAUGAGGUUUGCCUACUGGUAUUUGCUAGUUUUUUUUUUUGUUUUUGUUUUUUUUUUUUUUAAGAUGUAUUUAUUUAGUGUGUAUACAGUGUUCUGCAUGUGUCCCUGCAGGCCAGAAGAUGGCACCAGAUUGCAAUCCAGUUGUUUGUGAGCCACCAUGUGGUUGCUGAGAAUUGAACUAUUGAACUCAGGACCUCUGAAAGAAGCAGUCAGUGCUCUUAACUUCAAUCCUGGUAUUUGCUAGUUUUUAUAAAUACUUUUUCAGGAUGGGUAAGAAGCCUUUCCCACCAGCUCAGAAACAGCUAAUAUAGUUUUUAAUGGACAUUAUUUCCUGAUUUGGCCUUCCCUCCUUUUUAGGGUCUGAUAAAGGCAUGGCCUGCAUGGCCAAAAUGUCUCAACAAGUAGUUGAAUACAUGAAAAUAUACCGUGCCUGUAGUUCACAGAGUUUAGGACAGGUAGAAAGAAAUAACUAUUUACAAAACCAUUUAUUAAAUUGUGGACAGAAUCUCUCCUUACUGUUCUUUUUAGGAUCAGGUGCUCCCCUAUCAGGACAAGUGAAAUGUUUGGCCGACCACUUCCACUUAUUCUAUCAUGAGAAGGCCACAGAUUAUUGAACUGUCUAAUGGUUCCUUCAAGUCCUUACAGGCACCACAGCAGACAACCAGAGCCAUCUGUCACCCACCGCCUGCGCCACCCUUGACUGGGGACUUGGUGUGCGUCCACCACUUACCCAACCAGACUCCGGAACCUUCCUGGAAGGAACUGUAUCCUGUGAUCCAAAGGCCAUCAAGGUAGUGGGACUGCAGUUUGGAUCCACCAAUCCCAUGUAAAGGUGGACACAACCAGCCAGGGGAAGGUGACGAAUGGAGGGUAAUGCAAACUUCCCAUUGCCCUCUAAAGGUGUAGCUGACCUGCAUCUGACACUAAUUUUGGGAAUCUUGGUAGGUAACUCCUAUAUUUGGCCAACUAAAAGUGUUGAAGUCUGGGAUUGGGAACUGUCUUGAAUUGCAGAUAAGAAAAUAAUAGGCAUUUUCUGGAAUGCCACCUCCCAACCUGUGUUUAGAUUCAACCUGUGUGAUUUCUUUGAUAACAGUGAACUCAUGGCUGAAUGGGAAAGUUACAGUCCAAUUCACCCAGGGUGUGGGACCAAAAUGCGGGAAAUAUCCUUCUGGUCUUCACCGUUUUAUGCGUGCCCAGCCGAUGGGCCUACACAUUGUCAUAAAUGUAAAAGAGAUUAUCAUUGCUCCACCCCAGGCUGUGAGACUGAGUCUGACCAGGGUGGACAUAAAGACCCAUUCAUCUCCAUUCAACGAGUGCAUCUUUCUCGGGAUUGUAAACCUGGGACCUGCGACCCCUUCACUUUAAAGAUCAUGGCCUGGAAUGAAUUGAGCUCCAAAUACUGGCUUGCAGGUCGGACCUGGGGAUUUGUGCUUAAAUUUAAGAAUUAUGGAAACAGUCCCGGUGUAGAAUUCACUAUUCAGAAAUGGGUACCAUCCUACCUAGCCAAUCCUGUAGGUCUUAAAAUGAACUGGCAGCCUCAACCAGGGAUUAGGGUACCUCAUUUCUCUGUCCCCCUUCUCAGGCCACUCCACCCACAGUCACAAUCAAGAAGCUGCAGUAAUAGAGUCAGCCUCAACCCUACUGCAGUACAGACUUCUAUCUCCUGAUGACGUCCCUGAGCUCAAGACCUUGAAGUUACUGCAUAAUUGGACAAAUUAUACACACUCUAGCCUGGGAAGAGAUUGUUAGCUUUGUCUAGGUCCCAGGCCUCCCUAUUAUAAGGGCUAUAGGUCAAUCUCUCUAUUAACUACUACCCCACCAUAAAACUUUUGCCUGCUUAUGAAAGACAUUUCCAUUCUGAGGCUCAUUAGGGCCUUGUUAGAAAAAAAGAGAGUAUCAGUCGCAGGUGUAGUUAACCCCUCCUCAUGAAGCAAGAGUCACAGGUCAGUAGCAUCAGCCCUAGAUACUGAAGACCAGAGUUUUCAAACACUAAGGAAUAAAGUAGACCAAGACAUAGACAGCAUGGAAAACAAGGAGUUUCCCAGCAGAAAUGGUUUUACAGAACCAUCGAGGGCUGGAUUUGUUACUCUUGAAGGAAAGUCGUUUCUGUGCUGUCGUAAGUAAAAACUGCUCUGUGUCAGUAACUCAGGAGUUACAUUGAAAACAUUAGAUAUGAUUCAGAAAAACUUAGAUUCUAGGGCAAAGGAGGGAACUGAGGCUUCUAAUUGGUUUAGUCUCUUUUCUCUUGGUCCCUAUGACCCUUUAAUGGUCAUAGCUGGGCCUCUGCUUCAUACUGCUCCUUCGCAUCACAGUUGGCCUUGCACUGACAUUAAAGGCAGAAUCAAGUCUGUUGCUAAAAUAUGAGCCCUACAGGCUCGUAUUUCAACAUGUACUUCAACAUGAAUCGAUUUGACUUAUAUGAACUAGAACCAGUAGGGAAUGUGAUGGCUAAGGUGCCCAUUUUCGUAGCUUUUCCCUCUAACUUAAGUUCCUGGUUUUUUGUGCCCUUUUCAGAAUGGUAUAACUUGUGAAAUGGUAUAAUUAGCUGCUUGCUCUGGCUUUUGUAACUCACUGACGUAUGUAAGGGGAGUGAAGAAGUUUCUCACAGAGCUGCAAAUUCACAGAAAAAUUAAGUCAUUUUGGGUUUGCCUUUUAAAAACCCUCCUUUCACCGGGCAGUGGUAGCACACGCCUUUAAUCCCAGCACUUGGGAGGCAGAGGCAGGCGAUCUCUGUGAGUUCCAGGCCAGCCUGGGCUAUAAGAGCUAGUUCCAGGAUAGGCUCCAAAGCUACAGAGAAACCCUGUCUUGAAAAAAAGAAUACUUUGCUGAAUUUUUCAGAAAAGCAGGCCGAUUUACAAGUUACAUAACUGCAACCUAGUAAGCUCAUCCUUGGGAACAGGCACCAGGGUCAGCAGAGUAAUUCCUAUGAGGCAAGAAGGAAAUCCAGCUCAACACGACUCAAUUGCCAGUAUUGUUUCAAACUUCUAGAGACUGACACCAUUCAAUUUAUGUUAGGUAUAUUUAUUAAUACAGUUCAAUCUGGAAAAAAAUAGUCAGUUGUACAUAGUUUUCUAAAACCACAGCUGUUCAUUACAACAAAAAGAACAAAUGAAUUUUAUUGGUUGGAUGGAAAAGCUUACAUUCUGUGUGAGUUGACAUUGAUUGAACACAUGGGAAAAACCCAUAAUCUUUGAAUCCUGAUUGGUGGAAAAAUUGUGGAUUUUGUGUUUAAAUACAUGCUGAACUGAAGGUUCAGGGACAUAGUCAGCUCCUGAGUCAGUAUUGUCCCUGACUGGUCAGUUUCUAUCGUGUGCCCAGUAAUCAGCAUUGCUGUGCAGAACUUCUUGUCUCUGCUCUGGUUGAUCUGAGCCUCAGACCCACAACCACCACUACCUCGGGUCCUCCUUGUGGGAGCUUGGUAUGGUCUGGCCACCUCUGUUCCCGCACAGCCUUCUGGGUGAAAAUCAGGUUACAUAUCUUUUCUUUUGAGAAGUCAACGUUGCAUAUUUAACAUUCCUAGUGUUCCUUGUGCUCUCUAUGAGUACAGUGACCAUUGUGCUUUCAGUGAUUUUAUAAUGGAGAUAAAGGAGAUGGAGUGUGACCUAGUUUUCUGGCAUUACUUCCCUGCAUUUCCCAAAGGAAAUUUUAUUUGUAGCUAGAAUGGAAGAAAAUCCUAAGUGGAAAACAAAAUUAAAUCUCCCUUAAAGAGCAGAUUCUAGGAAUUGUGGAAUAGUCAUAAAAUAGAUUAUUACUGAGUGAUAAAAAAGAAAUAUUUUUAUUUUAUGUGAGUUGUUUUAUUUGAGACAGGGUUUCUGUAGUUCUGGCUGGUCUGAAACUUGAUGUGCAGAUCUGGCAGGCCUUAAACUCACAAAGAUUUGCCUACAAUGUGUUGGUUGGGGCUGACAGCGUUUGCCACCAUCAGUGUUGUAAAAGAUGAUGGACAAAGGCAGAUUUUGUGUUCAUGUCCCAUGGUCCCAUCUGUCUGGCAUUCAACAGUGAUUACUUUGGCAGGAGACUAGUUAAAAAGGGACAGAGGGACCUUCCUAGGGACAGUGGAAAUGUUUUGUAUGUGUUGAUGUAUUCGCUAGUAUUGAUGUGUAUACUUAAAAAAUUCAUUGUAAGCCCAAUUUGUACAUUUUUACAGUAUAUAAAUUUUAGCUUUAAAAAUCUUCUCCUUUGCUGGGUGGUGGUGGCGCACGCCUUUAAUCCCAGCACUCGGGAGGCAGAGGCAGGUGGCUCUCUGAGAGACUAGCCUGGUCUACAGAGCUAGUUCCAGGAUAGGCUCCAAAGCUACAGAGAAACCCUGUCUCGAAAAACAGAAAAAAAAAAAAAAUCCUCUCGUUCAUUUCUACCUACAAGAUGUGCUGGAGUAAAGGUGGCACAGAAAUUGUGGGAGUGGACAACCAGUGUUCAGCCAGAGACCUCUGCCCUGAAAGGGAGCCCAUCCCUGACACUACCUGGAGCACUAGGACUCAGAGGAUGGAUAGCCCAGAAACCUAGGAUGGAACCAAACAUGACAGGAAAGAGAAAUGUCACUGUAAUGAUACCUAAUGAUAUUUUACUAUACUCUUAGAUUGGUGCUUAGCCCAAUAGACAUCAGAGAGACUUUGUCUAGCAACUGAUGGAAACAGAUGCAGAGACCCAUCGCUGAACAUUAAUCAGAGUUUGGGGAAUCCUGUUGAAGAUGGGGAGGAAGGAUUGUAGGAGCCAGAGGGUAAAGGACAUCACAAGAGAACCCACAGACUCAACUAACCUGGGCUCAUAGCUACAGUGCCUGAACCAACACCUAUGGAGCCUACAUGAGUCUGACCUAGGCCCUCUGCACAUGUUACAGUUGUGUAGCUGGGUGUUCUUCUGGGCCUCCUAAUAUGGGAGAAGGGGCUGUCUCAGACUCUUUUGCCAGCUUUUGGGACAGUUUCCCUCCUACUGUGAUGCCCUGUCCAGCCUUAGUAUGAUAUGCCAUGUUUGGUUGAUUCUCGUGCGACACCUACCCUUUCUAAAUAUGGAGGAGGAGUGGAUGGCAGGGCAGAGCAAAGGUGGGGUGAGAAACUAGGAAGAGAGGAGGGAGGGGAAACAGCAGUCGUGUGUAAAUAUUAAUAAUAAAUCAUUUUUAAAAAUC